UCCCAGUUGAAAGAAAUCAACUGCUCACCCCGUUAAAGUCUCUCUAUCUCCUUUUCAGUUGUACUCACAAUUCUCUAUAUUUUAGAAGAAAACGUGAAUCGGUUCCAUUCUGGAUCUGUAUUGACUACUUCUCCUUCAUUGUCUGAUUCCGAUUUGAAUAACGAUUCUACUUUUCUUUUCACUAUUUGUUUUAAUGUUUUGUGACGCAGAUGAAUCCUUCGUACAGGCCGAGCUUGGUGGAGAGACACCGUUCGGAUAUUCAAUUCUUACCACCCUCUGGUUCUAACUUAGUAUUUGAUUAGUGGUAAUGUUUGAAAAAAUAGUUCGUUCAGACUUGGAAUCUGAAGAUGAGGUUUGUGCGAAUGGAUUCACAAACCACACUGAAUCAAGAUGAGGCAAACAUGCCUAAAGUACGAGAUGAAGUAGUACCAGAACAAUGUAGUUAAGAAGCUGGGGGCAGAUCACGGAGGAUAAUCAGAUACACUGGUUUUAAAACAAGCUUACGAAACAGAACAAGCAAGCCUAGGUGGUUGAGGAAUCUCUAGGAAAUAUGAGCCAGAAGCUGCUGCGGAAAACUGCAGAAGAUAACUGCAUUGUGAAACAAAGAAGAAAGAUGCAGCAUUAGCAGAACAUCAAAGAAGUAUGUUUCUUUUAUCUCGGGGGCUACUGAUACACUUCCUGAUUUUGAAAAAAAAAAACGUUGGAGCAUUCACAAGACAGGUUUUUCAAAGACUCAAUCAGCCAUAUACAUGAUAAAAGAGACAAAGAAGAGAAUUUUAAGAUGCUGCAGCAGCAGGAGCGUACUUAAGUUGUUGAUCUGCGAGAUAAGGCUGAGGACGUCUGCAGCUUCAUAGAGUAUGGAAAGAAAAGAGAUGAAAGAGUUUGUGGAGGAGAGGGAGAAGCUGACAGAAGAGCAAGAGAAAGAAGAUGGCGAGAUGAAGAAUAAUAGAUAUUUGGAGGAGAUGCUUGCUCUGGAUAUGGAUUUUGAUGUCUUUGGAGCUGCUCAUUAACAAGCAGACUUUCAUGAUGAAGAUGACGCAGACUACUAGCUUUCAUGUUGUGAUUAUGGUAUGUUGGUGAAUCUAAGGAGAUUUGACAAAGACUAUUGUUCUCAAUCUUAGUAGGGAUAAUAAUCUAAGGAAGAUUUAGGACUGUUAUUCUCCUUUUCACUGUAAGACGGCCAAGGAAUCAUUUUGUGACCAAUAGCAAGUUUGAAUGUUUUAGGACACCAAACUUAAAUCAUUUUGUGGUAGAUUAACCAGAUGGGUUUAAAGUUUUUAAAUAUUU